rnacentral:rRNA from 1 species
GACGAACGCUGGCGGCGUGCUUAACACAUGCAAGUCGAACGGAAAGGCCCUGCUUUUGUGGGGUGCUCGAUUGGCGAACGGGUGAGUAACACGUGAGUAACCUGCCCUUGACUUUGGGAUAACUUCAGGAAACUGGGGCUAAUACCGGAUAGGAGCUCCUGCUGCAUGGUGGGGGUUGGAAAGUUUCGGCGGUUGGGGAUGGACUCGCGGCUUAUCAGCUUGUUGGUGGGGUAGUGGCUUACCAAGGCUUUGACGGGUAGCCGGCCUGAGAGGGUGACCGGCCACAUUGGGACUGAGAUACGGCCCAGACUCCAACGGGCGGCAGCAGUGGGGAAUAUUGCACAAUGGGCGGAAGCCUGAUGCAGCAACGCCGCGUGCGGGAUGACGGCCUUCGGGUUGUAAACCGCUGUCGCCUGUGACGAAGCGGGAGUGACGGUAAUGGGUCAAGAAGCACCGGCUAACUACGUG